UGCCAGCCGCCGCGGUAACACGGGGGGCGCAAGCGUUAUUCGGAAUUAUUGGGCGUAAAGGGCGCGCAGGCGGUCUUGUCCGUCAGGUGUGAAAGCUCGGGGCUCAACCCCGGAAGUGCACUUGAAACAGCAAGACUUGAAUACGGUAGAGGAGAGAGGAAUUCCUAGUGUAGAGGUGAAAUUCGUAGAUAUUAGGAGGAAUACCAGAGGCGUAGGCGCCUGACUGGACGAUUAUUGACGCUGAGGUACGAAAGCGUGGGGAGCGAACAGGAUUAGAUA
rnacentral:rRNA from 1 species